GACGUAGGGCGUGAGCGUUGUCCGGAUUUAUUGGGCGUAAAGAGCUCGUAGGCGGCUUGUUGCGUCGGCUGUGAAAUCCCAUGGCUCAACUGUGGGCUUGCAGCCGAUACGGGCGGGCUAGAGUUCGGUAGGGGAGACUGGAAUUCCUGUGUAGCAGUGAAAUGCGUAGAUAUCAGGAGGAAUACCGAUGGCGAAGGCAGGUCUCUGGGCUGACACUGACGCUCAUGCCACGAAAGCCGUGGGGGAGCAAACAGG
rnacentral:rRNA from 1 species